rnacentral:misc_RNA from 1 species
AACGGUCUAUACCUGCGGUACCUGCGGAGGGAUCAUUGCCAAAUGGCCAUGAGCCUUUAACCUUUCAACUCGUGGAAUUAUCAUUGUGUUUCGGCGCUACGGCGCCGUAUUUAUGCUGAUAAUUGUUUUUUGUGUCUGAAUAAAAUCUAAGAAUUAAAACUUUUAACAACGGAUCUCU